rnacentral:rRNA from 1 species
GAUGAACGCUGGCGGCGUGCUUAACACAUGCAAGUCGAACGAAGCACUUUAUUUGAUUUCCUUCGGGGCUGAUUAUUUUUUGACUGAGUGGCGGACGGUUGAGUAACGCGUGGGUAACCUGCCUUGUACAGGGGGAUAACAGUUGGAAACGGCUGCUAAUACCGCAUAAGCGCACAGCAUCGCAUGAUGCAGUGUGAAAAACUUCGGUGGUAUAAGAUGGACCCGCGUUGGAUUAGCUAGUUGGUGAGGUAACGGCCCACCAAGGCGACGAUCCAUAGCCGACCUGAGAGGAUGACCGGCCACAUUGGGACUGAGACACGGCCCAAACUCCUACGGGAGGCAGCAGUGGGGAAUAUUGCACAAUGGGCGAAAGCCUGAUGCAGCGACGCCGCGUGAGCGAAGAAGUAUUUCGGUAUGUAAAGCUCUAUCAGCAGGGAAGAUAAUGACGGUACCUGACUAAGAAGCACCGGCUAAAUACGUG